AACGAACGCUGGCGGCAUGCCUAACACAUGCAAGUCGAACGAGACCUUCGGGUCUAGUGGUGCACGGGUGCGUAACGCGUGGGAACCUGCCCUUAGGUUCGGAAUAACUCCCCGAAAGGGGUGCUAAUACCGGAUAAUGUCUUCGGACCGAAGAUUUAGCGCCUUUGGAUGGGCCCGCGUUGGAUUAGCUAGUUGGUAGGGUAAAAGCCUACCACGGCGACGAUCCAUAACUGGGUUGAGAGGAUGGUCCGCCACACUGGUACUGAGCCACGGCCCAGACUCCUACGGGAGGGAGCAAUGGGGGAUAUUGGAAAAUGGGGUGAAGGCUGAUGCACCAAUGCCGCGUGAGUGAUGAAGGCCUUAAGGUUGUAAAGCUCUUUUACCCCGGAUGAUAAUGACAGUACCGGGAGAAUAAGCUCCGGCUAACUCCGUG
rnacentral:rRNA from 1 species